rnacentral:rRNA from 1 species
AUUGAACGCUGGCGGCAGGCCUAACACAUGCAAGUCGAGCGGAUGAAGGGAGCUUGCUCCUGGAUUCAGCGGCGGACGGGUGAGUAAUGCCUAGGAAUCUGCCUGGUAGUGGGGGAUAACGUCCGGAAACGGGCGCUAAUACCGCAUACGUCCUGAGGGAGAAAGUGGGGGAUCUUCGGACCUCACGCUAUCAGAUGAGCCUAGGUCGGAUUAGCUAGUUGGUGGGGUAAAGGCCUACCAAGGCGACGAUCCGUAACUGGUCUGAGAGGAUGAUCAGUCACACUGGAACUGAGACACGGUCCAGACUCCUACGGGAGGCAGCAGUGGGGAAUAUUGGACAAUGGGCGAAAGCCUGAUCCGGCCAUGCCGCGUGUGUGAGGAAGGUCUUCGGAUUGUAAAGCACUUUAAGUUGGGAGGAAGGGCAGUAAGUUAAUACCUUGCUGUUUUGACGUUACCAACAGAAUAAGCACCGGCUAACUUCGUG